UUCAGUCUGUGCAGUGAUAGAGAAUGUCCUCUGCUGUGUUUCAGGUGAAAUGGUCAGACUCUUCUUCUAGUAGUGUGACCAAAACCCAUCUGGAACUGGAGAAUUUCCUUCUUAAGCUUCCUAAGGAUCAGUGUACUGAGUCUUUUGAGAAGAGCAUCCUGAGGCUUCUGAACCAGGGGGACCGCAAUGAGAGCAGGGAGGUGGAGAAGAACCUCAGGGAAAGAUUCCUGUCUGCUCCUCCAGUCUUCAGACAGACCAGAAAUGUCUGCAGCUUCUUCAACUGUGACUCCAGUUACUCUACAAAACCUACUUGCUGCAGAUGUGAGUAUCAGACAAAUGCCUCAUUUCCACUGUAUGGUACAGCUCGACUCUACUCAACUCACUUGGUACUAGGUACAUUUCUAGAUUUCGUGUUUCACUGCAGAUAGUAGUACCUCAUCAAUUAGGGGUGUUGGCAAAAAAUUGAUAUAUGUAAGAAUCAUGAUUGUAUCUCGAUUCACAAUUUCC
rnacentral:lncRNA from 1 species